UUCCCUUUUAUAGGAGGGGAUUACGUUACCUGGGAGGUAACCGGGGGAUUUGUCCCUGUCCGUGAUAAUUGGGCACGAUUUGGCCCAUUUAUGGCGUAGUGGAGAACGGGGCCGAAUCAGACCGGAACCAGGGAGUUGUCACGGUCGAUCGGACCUGUUGGAGUGGUUGAACCGCCGGCCGUAGCGGGCCUGAGGUCUGUGGAUGGUAAGUGCCUUUAUUACCGAAUGAACCGGCGGCCAGGUAGAGCCAUACGCUCUGAUGGUUCAGUGAUCCGGAGAUCGUCUUGGGCCGUGUUCAUUAAAUGCCUGAGUGCAUCGGAGACUUAAGGGAGUCUCAUGCAUUAAUG
rnacentral:lncRNA from 1 species